rnacentral:lncRNA from 1 species
AUCUUUCAGCUGUGUCACCUCAUUCGCAAGAUUUUGUACUGAAUCCUCUGAUUGCUUCAGCUUUGUUAGCACUGCAUCCUUCUCUUCUUGUGUAGCCUUAACCUCCUGCUGCAGCUCAGCCUUGGCUUGUUCUGAUUGCUCGGUCAAAGUACAAAUGAUCUUCUGUGACUCAUCAUUAGCUUGCUGUAGAGUUGAAAUGUUCUCGUUUUGGGUUUGAAGGGCAAUCUCAAGAUUUCUGACAGAAGCCUGAGACGUCUGUAACUCCAAUAGCGUUGCGUCCUUCUCUGCACGUAGUUCUGCAAUUUCAGCAUGCGUACUGCUCCUGACUUCUUCCAACUGCUUGUCCAAGGUGGAAUUGCUUUCUAGCUGAACUGAAAGAUCCUCUUUCAGUCGUGUCACCUCAUUCUCAAGAUUUUGUACUGAAGUCUGUGACUGCUUUAGUUGUGUUAGUGUUGUAUCCUUCUCUUCUUGUGUUGCCUCAACCUCCUUCUGCAGCUCAGCCUUGGUUUGUUCUGAUUGCUCAGUCAAGGUACAUAUGUUUUUCUGUAACUGAUCAUUAGCUUGAUCCAGAGUUGAAAUCUUCUCACUUUGCUUUUUUAGCACACUCUCCAAGUUUCUGAC